UUCCUGGGACUGGAGCACCGACAAUACAAACAUGUUAAUGAAAGAGCUCAGUCCAAAAGACAAAAACUUAUUCUGCUUUGAUGUCCGUCAGCUGACUUGGUCAGAAUACACAAAAAAUUACUGCUUAGGAACUAAGAAGUUUCUGCUGAAUGAAGACAUGGCUGGAAUUCCUGCAGCCAAACAGCAUAUCAGAAAGCUAAGGACCAUUCACUAUGCACUGAACACCACUCUGCUUGUGAUCAUCUGGCGCAUAUUCGUUGCAAGGUCACAAAUGGCUCGUAAUGUAUGGUAUUUUGUAGUAAACCUCUGCUACAAGUUUCUUAACUACUUUAGAGCUUCCAGCAGCCUUAUGUAUUGACUGUGCCCUCCUGGGGAUCGUUCACGAUGUUCUGGGAUAACCUCCAUGUCCUAAACCUACUACUGGUGCCUGAGAUUCAGCAGGAACAAGAUAUCUCCUAACUGGUGCAGCAUUCAGCAGAUGUGACAAGAGGCUUCCUCCGAUUCCUACUACUGUUACUACUAUUAAACUACUGCUGCAGUGGGCCUUGACUCCCUGUCUCUGUAUCCAUCACCUCAUCCCUAUGAAGCUGCUAUUUUUCGCUGCGACACCUUCCAGUGCCAGUGCCCAGCUGCAGCAUGAAAAUUGGCACUGGAUAUCUUCUACCCAGGAAUACCGAGAAACCUAAUUUUCAGACACUUCACACCGUAUAUGAACAGAUUUGCAUUCCGUAUAUCCCUAGUGCAUUGAACCAACAGGACUAAAGAUUGUGUUUUUACAAAUAAGGUUCAGGGACCUGUUUCACUCAGACUGAAGAUGAACCCAGCAUGAAACGCACUGAGCAGCAAUGGCUGCUUUUGCGGGUGGGAGCUCCCCUCUCCUCCAUUUUUCCAUGAUGUGAUAUUUUCAAAGCCUAGAGAUUAAAUGCAGAUUUAAAUAUGGUCCAUCACACAGACUAAAACCGGCUUUAGGGUUGCUCCCUCUUUGCAGGGAACUCUUCAGGGACCUCUUAAGCAUUCUCGGUCUACAGCAGUGCCAGGAACUCUUGGGCAGAAGCUGUGCCAGCUUAAGGGGAAUAUUAUGUUGUGGCCUUUUCUGCACCCACAAAUAGGACGGUAACCACAGUGGUUGCUCUUUAAAACUAUUUAAUAGUUUUAAAGAGCAACUAUUUAAUAAAUAGUUUUAAAGAGCAGGUAUUUAAUAAAUAGUUAAAAACUAUUUAUUUUUCUCCCACUCAAGCUGCAGGGGAAAGUUUCUGGGAAAAUGGUAAUGUUUACUUACUUAUUUAACAGAUUUAUACAGCCACCCAUCUAGCCAGGGAACGCUGACUGGCAAACAGAAAUAAAAACACCAACCCAACUGUCCAAGUCCUUUAAAAAGGCACUGGGAGAAGGCCCCUAAAAUCACAUCAUCAACACAAUAAACAAAACCACAUCCAGACCCAAUCUCUGUCAACAGCUCGGCCCCAGUGCCAGAGGGAAGACCAGGUUUCACCGCCUUCCAGAGGGCCAACAGGGGUGGGGCAGUCCAUAUCUCUUUAGCUUGCAGACACCCUGCUGUUGGAAGGGCUGUCAAGAAUGUGAUGACCGAUCCUCAUCUUGGCAGCAUCUCCUUGGUGCCUGAGUGCAUCCAGAUCCUAUUUCGUAGCCUCCGGUGGCUUGGAAGUCUGUGCUGAACCUCUUCUCCCUUCUUAUACUCCUGUGAAUCAGGGAGGUGUCUCUGUGCCUCUUCCAAAUUUUAUUUGUCUGUUGUGGACAUUGCUCCUCUGAUUGCUUCGGUAAUGGAGCCCGCAUAUCUUCAAGGUCAUCUUCCUUACUCUCAACAAAGUACUUAAAAGAAUUAGUGCAUAGUCACAUCCUGUUCACUUUGUAAAGUGGGCUGAUUAUUGGAUGCAUCUAAACUUCAGGAUUACCUACAACCUGAUUGAGAUCAUGACUCAUUCUUAUCUCUACCGUGUGUGUUUUCUGCCAAAGCUGAAGUCAUCACUUGUAAAAGCACAGUUGUAAACCUAUUGGUGCCUUAUAGUCAAUAUUCCCAUAGUAACGGAUAUUGCAUUUGGAAGAAGGGAACCAUAAAUAUCUGUGUAUGGAAGAAGUGGUGGCAACCAUAAGCUCAGAUUGCAUAUGGUGCCAGAGAAGGAGUUCCCCUGAUCACAGCCAGCCAGCCAGCCUUAAACAUUUUGAAGUCCUCUUAUUAAAAGAAGGAUUUGUUUGAUGAUUUGAUCAUCUUCCUACAUAAAAGCAUAUAAAAGGACAUGUGAAUUGCCCACUUAUAGCUGUUUAGGUAUGACACUGUUUUUAAUUUAUGAAGGUAAAAUGUUAAAUGGACAGGCUGCCUGGUGACCCUGUUAUAAAAUCCUCUGGCUAGAAGUUUCUUUUCUUUUGUUAUAUGCGUGGUGUCUUUUAAAAACAGAAUAUGCAUCUUCUAAUCGCCUGGAAUUUCAACCUCAGUGUAUUCAGCGGGUGCCGUUUCCAGUGGCCACGAGCAGCUGGGCUGAGGUGCUGCUUUGGAGAGUGGAGCUGGAGGCUGAGUCGAGCCAUGCCAGCUGCUUGGGCGGUUGAAGAAUUGAAUUAAUUAUAUUCAGUUAAGAAUCUGAGUGGCGAAAGACUGUUUCCUUCCUUUCAUUUCUUCUUCAAUUAAGAGAAGCUUUGAGGUUUGUCUUUAUUUCAUCUGUGCAGAAAAAUACAUUUCAUGUCUUAUGUAUGUGCUUCGUUGGUUAUAGAGAGGCUUCUGGUUGUUUUGAUCAUGUCAAGCUGUGGAAAGUGCUCAGAAAAAUGGGAAUCCCAGAACAUCUCAUUACCCUGAUGCAAAACGUACGCACAGGUCAGGAAGCCAGAGUGUGGAUACAACAUGGCAAAACAGAU